rnacentral:tRNA from 1 species
UUUCUGGUGGCAAAGUGGUUAAGCACUUGGCUGCUAACUGAAAGAUCAGUGGUUCGAACCCACUCAAGCAGC